rnacentral:rRNA from 1 species
UACGAAGGGGGCUAGCGUUGCUCGGAAUCACUGGGCGUAAAGGGUGCGUAGGCGGGGCUUUAAGUCAGGGGUGAAAUCCUGGAGCUCAACUCCAGAACUGCCUUUGAUACUGAAGAUCUUGAGUUCGGGAGAGGUGAGUGGAACUGCGAGUGUAGAGGUGAAAUGCGUAGAUAUCUGCAGGAACACCCGUGGCGAAAGCGGCGAGCUGGACCACUACUGACGCUGAAGAACGAAAGCUAGGGGAGCAAACAGG